UUAUGUGAUCGUCUCUCGCAUAUCAAUAAGCGGAGGAAAAGAAACUAACAAGGAUUCCCCUAGUAACGGCGAGUGAAGCGGGAAGAGCUCAAAUUUGAAAUCUUAAAGGGUUUCCCUUUACGAAUUGUAGUUUAAAGAAGUGUUUUCUGUUGAGGUUUUGGUAAAAGUUCUUUGGAAUAGGACGUCAUAGAGGGUGAGAAUCCCGUAUUUGACCUUUACUUUCAACUUUGUGAUACACUUUCAAAGAGUCGGAUUGUUUGGGAAUGCAGUCCAAAAUGGGUGGUAAAUUUCAUCUAAAGCUAAAUAUUGGCGAGAGACCGAUAGCGAACAAGUACCGUGAGGGAAAGAUGAAAAGAACUUUGAAAAGAGAGUUAAACAGUACGUGAAAUUGUCCAAAGGGAAGCGUUUGACACCAGUGUUGUUUUUCUGAAAAUCAAUUAAAGAACUGUUUAUGCUAAGUUGUUUAGACUUUAUCAGCUAACUGUUUAGUUUUGAGCUUUUCUUUAAUGCACUUUUCAGUUAACAAGUCAACAUCAAUUUCUUUUGCUGUAAAAAAGCUUGAGGAAGGUGGCUUGAGAUUCGUCUUAAGUGUUUAUAGCCUCUUGCCUAUGCAGUCGGAGAGAUUGAGGUCUGCAGCGUAGAUCCUUCGGGGCUAAAUGCAUUUGUGCUAAGUUAUAGCAUUUUAUAGACAACUUGUUGACUAUGAUUUGUCUUGUAGCUUACUCGCUUAUGUUAUUUUACCUACGCUUAGGAUGUUGAUCUGUAGUGCGUGCGC
rnacentral:rRNA from 1 species